UACGUAGGGGGCAAGCGUUACUCGGAUUCAUUGGGCGUAAAGCGAAUGUAGGCGGUUAUGUAAGUCAGAGGUGAAAUCCCUCAGCCUAACUGAGGAAGUGCCUUUGAUACUGCAUGGCUAGAGGACAGGAGAGGAAAGUGGAAUUCCCGGUGUAGCGGUGGAAUGCGUAGAUAUCGGGAGGAACACCUGGGGCGAAGGCGGCUUUCUGGACUGUUCCUGACGCUGAGAUUCGAAAGCUAGGGGAG
rnacentral:rRNA from 1 species